GCCGGGCGUGGUGGCUCACGCCUGUAAUCCCAGCACUUUGGGAGGCUGAAGUGGGCGGAUCACCUGAGGUCAGGAGUUCGAGACCAGCCUGGCCAACAUGGUGAAACCCUGUUUCUA
rnacentral:SRP_RNA from 1 species